CAACAUAAAAUUAAAAACAUGAAUGUGCAUAAGCCACCCAAGGCAGCUCAAACUUGUUGACUUACUCAGAAAUUUUAUUUAAUGGGAUUUUGAAUUUAUAACUUACUCAGAAAUAUCAAUAAAUUAAUAAUAAAUUUUAUUUAAUGGUUAAAUAAGUAUAUCAAUUACAUGGUGUGUUUUUCUUUUCUUUGCCUCCAACAUUAAUUUACAUGGAAUAUAACAAUUAUUGUUCCAAGGGCCAGUUGCUCCUAAUGAGGAGAAAAAGGCCUUAAUAAGAGGGGGAAAUAAAAUAAGUAAUGAAAUUAAUUAAGUAAAAAUAUAUAUGAUAUGGUGAUUAAUUGGCAAACAAGAUCAAGAGCUUGGAUCUUGCUUUGCUCAAUUAGCAGCUCCGAAAUUUAUGAGAGCAUCACUAGGUGGACAGCGACACGGCCGCAAGCAAAGUUCUUUUAGUCCAAGGUGCAUCUUCCGUCCGUGGGGCUGGGGAUGUAAGUGCAGGGAGAACCGGCAGACGGUGGCACCGUACCUCUCGGGAGCGAUUCGAGCAGCGGAACCUGUAACUCGCUUAACCAUUGCCUAUAUUCAUCUAAAGGCCUCGUGGCAUUUGCACCUUGUAAAUUACUAGUUACCAUGAAAACAAUGGAAAGAAUGCAUAAAAUCUUGAAGGGGUUCUUGAAAAAAGACAUAUUUUUGAGUAUUGAAAUCACAGAAGAGGGAAAGUUUUAGAGAAGAAGUGAUCAAAUAUUGGACGGGAAUUAAUGGAAAUGAAUGAGAUGAGUUAUGUACUAGUGUUAUAUAUAUAUAUAUAUAUAUAUAUAUAUAUAUAUAU
rnacentral:lncRNA from 1 species